AUACGUAGGGGGCAAGCGUUGUCCGGAAUGACUGGGCGUAAAGGGCGUGUAGGCGGCUGCUUAAGUCUGAUGUGAAAUACCCAUUUUUAAGGUGGGUCGUGCAUUGGAAACUGAGUAGCUUGAGUGCGGAAGAGGUAAGUGGAAUUCCCGGUGUAGCGGUGAAAUGCGUAGAGAUCGGGAGGAACACCAGUGGCGAAGGCGACUUACUGGGCCGCAACUGACGCUGAGGCGCGAAAGCGGUGGGGAGC
rnacentral:rRNA from 1 species